rnacentral:rRNA from 1 species
UGUAAGCGUAUACCAAAGUUGUUGCAGUUAAAACGCUCGUAGUCGGAAUUUGGCAGUUCCGGAUGUGUGCACGUCGUGUGCGCACUUCGCGGGGAUUGCUUUUGUGGUCUUGCGUAGGAUGAGGCACUUUUAUUAGUGAACGUCCUCACGCAACCACUUUUUACUGUGAGAAAAUCAGAGUGCUCAAAGCAGGCAUUUGCCGUGAAUGUAUUAGCAUGGAAUAAUAGAAUAGGACUUGGUUCUAUUUUGUUGGUUUGUUGGGACUGAGUAAUGAUUAAGAGGGACAGUUGGGGGCAUUUGUGUUUCGGUGCUAGAGGUGAAAUUCUUAGAUUACCGAAAGACAAACUGCUGCGAAAGCGUCUGCCAAGGAUGUUUUCAUUGA